rnacentral:rRNA from 1 species
CCUACGGGUGGCAGCAGUGAGGAAUAUUGGUCAAUGGACGCAAGUCUGAACCAGCCAUGCCGCGUGCAGGAAGACGGCCCUAUGAGUUGUAAACUUCUUUUGUACGGGGGUAAAGGCAGAAACGUGUGUCUGUCUGAAAGUACUUUACGAAUAAGGAUCGGCUAACUCCGUGCCAGCAGCCGCGGUAAUACGGAGGAUUCUAGCGUUAUCCGGAUUUAUUGGGUUUAAAGGGUGCGUAGGCGGUCGGUUAAGUUAGAGGUGAAAUCUCGAGGCUCAACCUUGAAAUUGCAUUUGAUACUGGUAGGCUUGAGAGUAGUUGCGGUAGGCGGAAUGUAUGGUGUAGCGGUGAAAUGCUUAGAGAUCAUACAGAACACCGAUUGCGAAGGCAGCUUACCAAGCUACUACUGACGUUGAGGCACGAAAGCGUGGGGAGCAAACAGGAUUAGAUACCCUUGUAGUC